CCUCUGGGCUGAGCCUCCGCCCAAGGCUGCCCUGUGGAGUGGGAGGGCGAGGUGGCCAUGCUGGAUGUUUCCUUCACAAGCCCACACCAGCCACCGCAAGAAUUACUUUUCUCGUAAAGACUCACCCUGUUACACAAGCCACAGACAGUGACUCUAUACCCAGAAGGUCUUAAGGGACAGGGCAGGCAGAGGGGUUGGAAAUCAAAACACUUGGAGAGCCGUGUUCCCACUCCCUGAUUACUGGAGACCCUAAAGGGAACAGCCCUUCAGGCCACAGGCAUAAAAGGCAGAAGAGUGGGCGGGUGAAUGCAUGGAGGACAGACAGAGGAGCUGGGAAGGAAGCCUUGGGCACUGCCAGAACCUUCUGUUAACGGGGACAGAAACUGAAUGCAGGCCAGCUUAGGCAAAAAGGAAUCUAUUGGCUUAUAUACCUGAAGUAUCCAGUGAGGGGGCACUACUAUCAGGCACGGAUCCAGGGACUCUUAUAAUGUUAUUUUCUCUUCACUUUCCUCACCUUGACUCAUCUUACAUUUGUGUGUUGACCUCUUCUUUCUGCCUGCAAAUGGACCAUGCUAUCAAGGAAGAAGCCAGUAGCCCAAGCUUAGCUGGGCAAGCCAGCCAUAAGAGACAUUUCUCUAACAGCCUCAUGGAUUGGCUUGGAGCCCAUGUCCACCCUUGAGCCAAUCCCUGGUACCAUGGUGAUGGGAGCAUUAGGGUGGGCCAAGCCCGGGUUGUGUGCUGUCAAUGUCAGGAUGGGGAGGAACACUAUGACCCACAGUCCUACCAGAACUAUUUUGAUAGGAGAUGGUAGAGGGUGGUUCUUGUGCAGACAAGAAAAUUUCUGCUAUGGUUGUCCAAGUGUUUGGAAGGGUAUAAACAAAAGCUAGAAGAUGGGAACAUACAGCUAGAACAAAAUAGUCUUUCUGGGAAAAACAGAAAAUGAGAUGGAAGGUGGAUCACGGUCCCCUCACAGAGGGUCCUUGACACCCCAUGCAGGACUCAUCUUCUCAAUCCACUUUCAGUCCACCUUCUAUCAAAACCACCUGUAGAUACAAAACAAAAAAACCCAACACAAUUUAAAAACAAGCAAAGAACCUGAAUAGACAUUCACAGAAGAUAUAUGAAUGGCCAAUUAACACAUAAAAAGAUGCUCAGCAUCAUUCAUUCAGUUCAGUUCAGUUCUGUUCAGUCGCUCAGUCAUGUCCGACUCUUUGC
rnacentral:lncRNA from 1 species